rnacentral:rRNA from 1 species
UAGGGGGGGAAGAACCAACAGGGAUUGCCCCAGUAACGGCGAGUGAAGCGGCAACAGCUCAAAUUUGAAAUCUGGCCCUCGGGUCCGAGUUGUAAUUUGUAGAGGAUGCUUUUGGCGAGGUGCCUUCCGAGUUCCCUGGAACGGGACGCCAUAGAGGGUGAGAGCCCCGUCUGGUCGGACACCGAGCCUCUGUAAAGCUCCUUCGACGAGUCGAGUAGUUUGGGAAUGCUGCUCAAAAUGGGAGGUAUAUGUCUUCUAAAGCUAAAUAUUGGCCAGAGACCGAUAGCGCACAAGUAGAGUGAUCGAAAGAUGAAAAGCACUUUGAAAAGAGGGUUAAAAAGUACGUGAAAUUGUUGAAAGGGAAGCGCCUAUGACCAGACUUGAGCCCGGUGAAUCAUCCAGCGUUCUCGCUGGUGCACUUUGCCGGGCCCAGGCCAGCAUCAGUUUGGCGCGGGGGAUAAAGGUGACGGGAAUGUGGCUCCCUCGGGAGUGUUAUAGCCCGCUACGUAAUACCCUGCGCCGGACUGAGGUACGCGCAUUGCAAGGAUGCUGGCGUAAUGGUCAUCAGCGACCCGUCUUGAAACACGGACCAAGGAGUCGUCUUCGUAUGCGAGUGUUCGGGUGUCAAACCCCUACGCGUAAUGAAAGUGAACGCAGGUGAGAGCUUCGGCGCAUCAUCGACCGAUCCUGAUGUUCUCGGAUGGAUUUGAGUAAGAGCAUACGGGGCCGGACCCGAAAGAAGGUGAACUAUGCCUGUAUAGGGUGAAGCCAGAGGAAACUCUGGUGGAGGCUCGCAGCGGUUCUGACGUGCGAAUCGAUCGUCAAAUAUGGGCAUGGGGGCGAAAGACUAAUCGAACCUUCUAGUAGCUGGUUUCCGCGAGUUUUUCUCUCCCAGAGAAA